UACGUAGGGGGCAAGCGUUGUCCGGAAUCAUUGGGCGUAAAGAGCGCGUAGGCGGCCCUGUAAGUCCGCUGUGAAAGUCAAGGGCUCAACCCUUGGAUGCCGGUGGAUACUGCAGGGCUAGAGUCCGGAAGAGGCGAGUGGAAUUCCUGGUGUAGCGGUGAAAUGCGCAGAUAUCAGGAGGAACACCGAUGGCGAAGGCAGCUCGCUGGGGGUGUCCUGACGCUGAGGCGGCGAAAGCCAGGGGAGCGAACGGG
rnacentral:rRNA from 1 species